AACGAACGUUGGCGGCGUGGAUUAGGCAUGCAAGUCGAGGGAAUUCCCGCAAGGGAGGAACCGGCGUAAGGGGCAGUAAGGCAUGGGUACCUACCCGAAGGUUCGGCAUAGCCAUCAGAGAUGGUGGGUAAUACCGGAUGAUGUCGAGAGACCAAAGAUUUAUCGCCUUCGGAGGGGCCCAUGUGAUAUUAGCUUGUUGGUGGGGUAACGGCCCACCAAGGCUAAGAUGUCUAGCGGGUGUGAGAGCACGACCCGCGCCACUCGCACUGAGACACUGGCGAGACACCUACGGGUGGCUGCAGUCGAGGAUCUUCGGCAAUGAGCGCAAGCUUGACCGAGCGACGCCGCGUGCGCGAUGAAGGCCUCCGGGUUGUAAAGCGCUUUAGGGGGGGAGAAAAACCGAAAGGUGUGAUCUAUCCCCAAAAUAAGCACGGGCUAAGUUCGUGCCAGCCGCCGCCGUAAAAC
rnacentral:rRNA from 1 species